rnacentral:rRNA from 1 species
GCACAAGCGGUGGAUGAUGUGGAUUAAUUCGAUGCAACGCGAAAACCUUACUACCCUUGACAUGUCCGGAAUCCCGAAGAGAUUUGGGAGUGCUCGCAAGAGAACCGGAACACAGGUGCUGCAUGGCUGUCGUCAGCUCGUGUCGUGAGAUGUUGGGUUAAGUCCCGCAACGAGCGCAACCCUUGUCAUUAGUUGCCAUCAUUUGGUUGGGCACUCUAAUGAGACUGCCGGUGACAAACCGGAGGAAGGUGGGGAUGACGUCAAGUCCUCAUGGCCCUUAUGGGUAGGGCUUCACACGUCAUACAAUGGUCGGUACAGAGGGUUGCCAACCCGCGAGGGGGAGCUAAUCCCACAAAGCCGAUCGUAGUCCGGAUCGCAGUCUGCAACUCGACUGCGUGAAGUCGGAAUCGCUAGUAAUCGUGGAUCAGCAUGUCACGGUGAAUACGUUCCCGGGUCUU